rnacentral:rRNA from 1 species
CAGGCCUAACACAUGCAAGUCGAACGCCCCCGCAAGGGGGAGUGGCAGACGGGUGAGUAACACGUGGGAACAUACCCUUCGGUUCGGAACAACGCCGGGAAACUGGCGCUAAUACCGGAUACGCCCUUUGGGGGAAAGGCUUGCCGCCGAAGGAGUGGCCCGCGUUCGAUUAGCUUGAUGGCGGGGUAACGGCCCACCAUGGCGACGAUCGAUAGCUGGUCUGAGAGGAUGGCCAGCCACAUUGGGACUGAGACACGGCCCAAACUCCUACGGGAGGCAGCAGUGGGAAUAUUGGACAAUGGGCGCAAGCCUGAUCCAGCCAUGCCGCGUGAGUGAUGACGGCCUUAGGGUUGUAAAGCUCUUUCGCACGCGACGAUAAUGACGGUAGCGUGAGAAGAAGCCCCGGCUAACUUCGUGCCAGCAGCCGCGGUAAU